rnacentral:misc_RNA from 1 species
AAAAAAAUAAGUGGCAACUAAUAUACUUCAGAGUGAUGUAUACAAAAAAAAUUAUAUAUCAGUUGUUACAAAGACUUCAACCUGAGUUAAAAUCAAAAAAGAAAAGAAUUCUUUCCUACCUGCGGAAAUGGAGAAUAAACUUCCUCCACAGAAUCCAAAUCUUUUGAUGUUUAAAUGUACAUAACACACUCCAUAAAUCAAGAGGCUCCCAUUAAUGUAAUGUUCUCUACAGGCUGCUAAAGAUCCUUUCCUAGAUUGAUAAUGUUGAGUCCAGAUGAAGCCAUAGACUACUAACGCUGUAGAGCUUGCUUUGUUCCUCCAGGCCUUCAAUAGAACACGGGCCAACUUAUUUGUUAGCGGAAUGAAGGAUAGUUUCUUUUGUAAAUGUCAACAUCAUUAAAUCAAGUGGAAGCUUCACCUAGGGAUAUUUCAGGGACUAAUGCCAAUUUCUCCUUUUGGAGGUCGUUUCCUCGUGAUAAUCAAUCAAAA